GACAUGCAAGUCGAACGAACUUAACCAUUAGUUUACUAUUGGAGCGGUUAGUGGCGGACUGGUGAGUAACACGUAAGCAACCUGCCUAUCAGAGGGGAGCAACAGUUAGAAAUGACUGCUAAUACCGCAUAUGCCUUGAGUAUCACAUGGUACAAAAGGGAAAGGAGCAAUCCGCUGAUAGAUGGGCUUGCGUCUGAUUAGAUAGUUGGUGAGGUAACGGCCCACCAAGUCGACGAUCAGUAGCCGGACUGAGAGGUUGAACGGCCACAUUGGGACUGAGAUACGGCCCAGACUCCUACGGGAGGCAGCAGUCGGGAAUAUUGCGCAAUGGAGGAAACUCUGACGCAGUGACGCCGCGUGCAGGAAGAAGGUUUUCGGAUUGUAAACUGCUUUAGACAGGGAAGAAACAAGACAGUACCUGUAGAAUAAGCUCCGGCUAACUACGUGCCAGCAGCCGCGGUAAUACGUAGGGAGCAAGCGUUAUCCGGAUUUAUUGGGUGUAAAGGGUGCGUAGACGGGAGAGCAAGUUAGUUGUGAAAUCCCUCAGCUCAACUGAGGAACUGCAACUAAAACUACUAUUCUUGAGUGCUGGAGAGGAAAGUGGAAUUCCUAGUGUAGCGGUGAAAUGCGUAGAUAUUAGGAGGAACACCAGUGGCGAAGGCGACUUUCUGGACAGUAACUGACGUUGAGGCACGAAAGUGUGGGGAGCAAACAGGAUUAGAUACCCUGGUAGUCCACACCGUAAACGAUGGAUACUAGGUGUAGGGUGUGAUAAACAUUCUGUGCCGUCGUA
rnacentral:rRNA from 1 species